rnacentral:rRNA from 1 species
GCCAGACUCCUACGGGAGGCGGCAGUGGGGAAUAUUGGACAAUGGGGGGAACCCUGAUCCAGCGACGCCGCGUGAGUGAAGAAGUAUUUCGGUAUGUAAAGCUCUAUCAGCAGGGAAGAAAGAAAUGACGGUACCUGACUAAGAAGCCCCGGCUAACUACGUGCCAGCAGCCGCGGUAAUACGUAGGGGGCAAGCGUUAUCCGGAUUUACUGGGUGUAAAGGGGGCGCAGACGGCGAUGCAAGCCAGGAGUGAAAGCCCGGGGCCCAACCCCGGGACUGCUCUUGGAACUGCGUGGCUGGAGUGCAGGAGGGGCAGGCGGAAUUCCUGGUGUAGCGGUGAAAUGCGUAGAUAUCAGGAGGAACACCGGUGGCGAAGGCGGCCUGCUGGACGGUAACUGACGCUGAGGCUCGAAAGCGUGGGGAGCAAACAGGAUUAGAUACCUGUGUAA